UGUUCCAGUUGUUCUCCAAGAGCAAUGCUGGGUAGCUAAGUUUGUAAGAGAUAACCGCUGAAAGCAUCUAAGUGGGAAGCUUGUCUCAAGAUUAGAUACCCCGUAUAACUUCGGUUAUACAUAGUAAGGCCCCUCAAAGACUAUGAGGUUGAUAGGCUGGGUGUGUAAGUACAGUAAUGUAUUGAGCUAACCAGUACUAAUAGGCCGAGUGUUUUAAUUGC
rnacentral:rRNA from 1 species